rnacentral:rRNA from 1 species
UACGUAGGGGGCAAGCGUUGUCCGGAUUUAUUGGGCGUAAAGAGCGUGUAGGCGGCCAAGCAGGCCCGCUGUGAAAACUCGAGGCUCAACCUCGAGACGUCGGUGGAAACCGUUUGGCUAGAGUCCGGAAGAGGAGAGUGGAAUUCCCGGUGUAGCGGUGAAAUGCGCAGAUAUCGGGAAGAACACCCGUGGCGAAGGCGGCUCUCUGGGACGGUACUGACGCUGAGACGCGAAAGCGUGGGGAGCGAACAGG